GCUUGGCCAGAUCGGACAUGUUCCCACGCUGAGCCACAGCAAUUUUCAAAGAAGCCUAAAGAAAGGCUUUGGCAUGUCAGUCGGUUUGCUCUGGCUGUCGGCAAAAAAAAAAGUUCCAAAGAAGUUCCGUUUGACACAUGGUGCUUUUCACAUGGUGCAUGCUUUUCAACAAGGAGCAGAUGGCCGACAAAGAUCGUUGUCAUGAUUCGUCCCCGGUCACGUCCAUGUGUCAUUGUUUUGUCCGUCUGUGUGCUCAUGUCCGUGGAUCAUGUGUGCUUCUGCCAUGUCUUGUCCCCAGUUUUGCUAGGUUGCCAUGGUUUCUGUUCGCGUCGCCCCUCCCCUCCUGUGUUCCCUCAAUCAAUGUAACCGCGUUCACCUGCCUCGUGUUUUGUGCUUUGUAUUUAAGCCCUGUCUGCCCCUUGUUCAUUGUCGGUUCGUUGCUUGUCGAUUGUUGCAUGCAAUCGCUGCUGUCACGGUCACGUCACCAUGUCUUUCUGUUCCACGUCUUGUCAGGCUUUUAUCCCAGUGCACAGAACGUGACCUGGAAAUCCACGAACUUUAAAACCAUUCUGACCUGGGAACCAUUACCAACUGAUUACUCAUACACCGUAGAGUUCUCUGUGGUUGCCAAGGACAAACAGAGGAAUUCUAAUUGCAUACGGAUCUCAACAACUAUGUGUGAUCUGACCAGUUCACUGACUGAUUUAAAUGCCUGCUAUGUAGCUGAUGUCCUGUCUGAACCCCCACUGGGAGUAACCUCUGACCUCACUGAGUUUCCAUACACAAGCUCCUCACGAUUCUGCCCCGCCAAUGACACUGAUAUAGGCAGACCUGAUUUCAAGCUAGACGUGAGCGACGACAAAAAGAAGACUACGCUGUAUGUGACUGACCCACUUACCGCAUUGUUUAAAGAUGAUCAUCAGUUGAACAUUAGAGACAUUUUCUUAAAGAAGCUACAUUAUAAAGUCACAUAUCGUAAAAACAAGAGCUCUGGCAAGAAAGUGUUCAUCUCUCAGACUAAUGUAAUAGAGAUGACUAAUCUGGAUCAAGGAGAAAGCUACUGUUUUAACGUUCAGGCCUUCAUUCCAAGCCGCAGCAAUAAACAGCUAGGAAAAUUGAGCCAAACUCAGUGCUCUGACGACGACAAACAAUCCAUCUUUGAGGGUGACUCUCCUGUGAAGCUCCUGAAGUAUGCAGACGACACCACUCUCAUCGGACUGAUCCAGGACGGUGAUGAGACUGCGUACAGACAGGAGGUGGAGCGGCUGGUCCACUGGUGUAGCCAAAACCAUCUGGAGCUGAACCCGCUCAAGACCGUGGAGAUGACAGUGGAUUUCAGACACCUUCAAGUUCCUGGGAACCACAAUCUCUCGGGACCUGAAAUGGACCGGCCACAUAGACUCUGUCCGGAAGAAGGCCCAGCAGAGGCUGUACUUCCUGAGACAGCUCAAGAAGUUCAACCUGCCGCGAGAGCUUCUGAAGACCAUCUACACUGCCAUCAUCCAGUCUGUCCUCUGCACUUCCAUCACUGUCUGGUUUGGAUUGGCCUCCAAACAAGACAAGCACAGACUGUAACGGACAAUCAGGACUGCAGAAAAGAUCAUUGGAAUCAACCUCCCAUCUAUCCAAGACUUGUACCUGUCCAGGACCAGGAAACGUGCAAGGAACAUCUCUACAGACCCUUCUCGCCCAGGUUGCAGUCUGUUUGAACUACUCCCCAGCAGACACGGAGACAGCUUCUUUCCCCAGGCUGUUGCUCUGAUAAACUCACACCACUCAUAGAGUCUCAGAGUCAUUACUGUGCAAUAACAUCCUCGUCACGUACUGGCGCCACCUGCACCAGGACCACGCCCCCCUAUCACCGGAAUUGCCGCCACCUGCCACAGCCUCAUGGACAGCGCUAUAUCAACGCCGCCAGCGCAGACCCGAGUGUCCGUCUGUCCCAUGAUAUUGUUUCGCCCUCCGGUCCACGACAAACCGACGUCCGUGAAGAAUCGAAGAUACAGCAGAACAGCUUGUUUUUCCCAGCCUGAUCGCCGAUCCAGCGCCGGCUUCAGCUUCGCCCACCUUACCCGCGAUAGCGGGCGGGGGGCCCGCAAUAAAGUCUCUAUCGCUACGCACUUGGCUGUACUCUCCAUUCCCUUACAGUACAGACGGACCAGGCUAUGCAGCCAGCAAACGAAGAGACGGCAUCCGCCCGGCUGGAGCAAGCCGAGACCGCCAUUAGCAGCCUAUCCGCCGACAUCCGGAGUCAGAUCGAGGUGGGCCAACGGCAACAGCAACAGCAGCAGGAGAUGGCCCAAGCCCUCCAGAGUUUGUCGGUGGCUGCGCCCCCAGCUGUCACGUGCCCCCGAGAGGGGGGCCCCGGCUUGUGACACGGUCGACGCAUUCGCGGAGGAAUUGCUCUGCUUGUUCGACCUGGGCUCUGCCGCCGAAGACGCCGCCGAGGAACUGGCGACGCUGCGUCAAGUUAGCCGAUCGGUCGCAGAUAACGCCCUCAAGUUCCAGACCCUGGCCGGCAGCAGCGGGUGGAACGAGCCGGCGCUCGUCAGCACGUUCCUCAACGGUCUCGCGGAGUACAUGAAGGACGAGCUAAUUUCCCGCGAUCGUCCGCGAACCCUGAAGGACGCGAUGAACUUGGCGGCCCGAGUAGACCGGCGGAUACGAACGCGGCGGCGCGAUCGGGAGCGGAGGCCCAUGGAUCUGGGAGGGGGGUCAUCGAGUGACAGGGUGCCCGUCAGGAGGCCGGGCUCACGCGGCGUCGGGGAUCCACGUGAGCUCGACCAGCACAGGCUCUCCCAGUCCCAGUACGCUCACGUUACAGGCACGUGUCCAGCUCGCGGCGGGCGACCGGAACGUGGCUGCCCUGGUGGAUUCCGGGGCGGAGGGUAACCUCAUGGACAGUUGCCUGGCACGCCAGUGGGGGGAUCAACUUCCUGCCUCUGAGCCCGCCCAUUCCCGCACGCGCCAUCGAUGGCCGUCUGAUCGGCGAGGUGGCCUUCGUGACAGAGCCAGUCAAGGUACUGCUCUCCGGCAAUCACCACGAGACCAUCCAAUUUUUUUUUCUUCCCCCCCCAGGACAGCAGCUCAUCCUGGGGCACCCUUGGCUGCGGCAGCACAACCCGGUACUGGACUGGGAGGUGGGGGUGGUUCGGCAGUGGAGCGAACGCUGCCAUCGGACGUACCUGAGGGCGGCCACCAGCCCGCUCGGUGGAGCCCCGCCCAGGUACAGCCACGACAUCUCCAUCGUACCGGCGGUUUAUCACGAACUCAAAGAAGUUUUUAGUAAGGCCAGGGCCACCUCCCUUCCUCCCCACCGGUCUUACGAUUGCGCCAUCGACCUGCUGCCCAGCACCUUCCCCCCCAAGUGACGCGUCUACUCCCUGUCCGCUCCUGAGCGCCGGGCCAUAGAGGAAUACAUCCGGGAGUCCCUGGCGGCCGGCAUCAUACGGCCGUCCUCAUCACCUGCGGGAGCGGGGUUCUUCUUCGUGGAGAAGAAGGAGGGCACGCUCCGCCCGUGCAUCGACUACCGGGUAAUAAACGCCAUAACCGUUAAGAACCGAUACCCCCUGCCUCUUCUGUCUUCUGCCUUCGAGUGCCUUCAGGGUGCCACCGUCUUUACUAAGCUGGAUCUUUGCAACGCCUAUCACCUGAUCCGCAUCCGGGAGGGAGACGAGUGGAAGACGGCUUUCAACACACCGAGCGGCCACUACGAGUACUUGGUGGUUCCGUUUGGGCUCACCAAUGCCCCAGUGGUUUUCCAGUCCUUAAUAAACGACGUGCUACGAGACAUCCUGGGCAAGUUCGUGUUCGUUUAUUUGGACGACAUCCUCAUCUUCUCCCGCUCGCUCCCUGAAAACAUCAAGCAUGUUCGGACGGUGCUACGCCGCCUCCUGGAAAAUUCGCUCUACGUGAAGGCAGAGAAGUGCGAGUUCCACGCCUCCUCUGUCAAGUUCCUCGGCUACGUGGUGCGCGAGGGAUCCGUCGAGAUGGACCCAGAGAAAGUGCAAGCGGUCACGUCAUGGCCUGUCCCAGAGACAUGCUAGCGGCUGCAACAAUUCUUGGGGUUCGCGAACUUCUAUCGCCGUUUCAUCCGUGGGUACAGCACGGUGGCCGUGCCCCUCACCGCCCUCACCAGCCCCGCCUCCCCGUACAAAUGGACGGAAUGGGCAGCACAGGCGUUCCAGGAGCUCAAGAGGAGGUUCACGUCCGCUCCCAUCCUCCGAGUCCCCGAUCCUGACCGGCAGUUUGUGGUCGAGGUGGACGCCUCAAACGUGGGGGUUGGGGCGGUGCUGUCCCAACGCAGCUGCCAGGACGAUCGCCUCCACCCGUGCGCUUUUUUUUCUCGCCGCUUGUCGGCCUCGGAGCGGAACUAUGACAUCGGCAAACGGGAGCUCCUCGCCGUCAAGUUGGCCUUGGAGGAUUGGCGGCAUUGGCUGGAGGGCGCCACCAUGCCGUUCAUCGUCUGGACCGACCGCCGCAACCUGGAGUACCUGAGAUUGGCCAAGAGGCUGAACGCGAGGCAAGCAAGGGGGGCUCUGUUCUUUGACCGGUUUGAGUUCUCUCUCUCCUACAGGUCGGGUUCCCGCAACGCGAAGGCGGAUGCCCUGUCGCAUUCGUUUCCUGGCGGGGAGGAGAAACGGGGUCCGCCUCCCACUAUUCUCCCUCGGUGCGGGUGGCGGCGCUGUCAUGGGAGAUUGAACGCCAAGUAGAAGCUGCAUCACGCGAUCAGCCCGGCCCCAGCAACUGCCCGGAAGGUCACCUGUUCGUCCCUGAGGGCCUGCGCUCGUCCGUGCUGCAAUGGGCACACGACUCACGCCUGGCCUGUCAUCCCGGGGCUGCGCGCACGAGGUACGUGGUGGUGCAGCAUUUCUGGUGGCCCACCUGGCAAGUGGACACCAGCGAUUACGUCAGAGCCUGCUCAAUAUGUAACCGCUGUAAGACCUCUACUUGUCCUCCGGCCGGGCUACUCCAACCCUUGCCGGUUCCCCGGCGUCCCUGGUCUCACCUGUCCAUCGACUUUGUCACGGGCCUUCCCCCCUCGGAGGGGAACACGGUGGUCCUCACGGUGGUGGACCGGUUCAGCAAAAUGACGCACUUCAUUCCUCUGCCUAAGCUUCCGUCCGCGAAGCAGACUGCGUCCAUCAUGGUGCGGGAGGUGUUUCGUCACCACGGCCUCCCAGAGGACAUCGUGUCGGACCAUGGCCCGCAGUUCGCUUCCACCUUCUGGGCGGAGUUCUGCCGACUCCUCGGCGCUACGGCCAGCCUCUCGUCGGGGUUUCACCCUCAGUUCAAUGGUCAAGCGGAGUGGCUGAACCAGGAGCUGGGCAGGUCCCUCCGAUGCAUGGCCGCCGGGGACCAGCGUUUGUGGGUCCAACAGCUUCCUUGGGUGGAGUACGCCCACAAUUCCCUCCCCAGCUCGGCUACGGGACUGUCGCCCUUCCACUGCGUCUUCGGGUACCAGCCACCCUUGUUCGCCCACCAGGAACGUGACACGGCGUGCCCAUAGGCCCAGGCUUGUGUCCGCCGUUGUCGUCGUGCCUGGGCGAGGGCCCGGACCCCUCUUCUCCGCUCUGUUUCAGGCUACGCCCGCCAGGCAAACAAGCGCCGGUCGCCGGCUCCGGAGUACAGAGUGGCCCAGCGGGUGUGGCUCUCGACGCAGGAUUUGCCGCAGCGAAAGAGAUCCCGCAAGCUGGCGCCGCGCUUUGUUGGACCGUUUUCCAUGCAGAAGCCCGUUUUUGAGAGCGCAUUGGUGCCCGUGCCGCCGCCCCAGCUCAUUGAGGGGGGCCCGGCUUACGCCGUCCGCUCCCUGCUCUGAUCGCGGCACCGCGGUCGUGGCUUCCAAUACCUGGUGGAUUGGGAGGGCUAUGACGACGCCCACCGCUCCUGGGUCCCGAGUCGCUGGAUCCUCGACCGUUCGCUCAUCACGGAGUUCCAUCGCUGUCACCCGGACCAACCGGGCCCCCGGCGCGGACGGCCGAGGAUGGUUGAGGGGCCCAGGGGUAAGGGCCCGAGGCGGCCUUCUCCGCCGGUGCCGGAGACGAGGAAUUGGACGUUUCGACGGAGUACUAACCCCGCCUGGUCGUCCGGGGGGUUGCCUUCCUCUGCCUUCUGAUUUUUUUUGUCUUUUAGUGCUCUGGGGACGUCGGGAGCCGUCCCUUGUGGGUGGGUUUCUGUCACGUACUGGGGCCGCUUGUGACAAGACCACGCCCCCCUAUCAGCGGAAUCGCCGCUACCUGCCACAGCCUCAUGGACAGCGCUAUAUCAACGCCGCCAGCGCAGACCCGAGUGUCCGUCUGUCCCGUGAUAUUGUUUCGCCCUCUGGUCCACGACAAACCGACGUCCGUGAAGAAUCGAAGAUACAGCAGAACACCUUGUUUUUCCCAGCCUGAUCGCCGAUCCAGCGCCGGCUCCAGCUUCGCCCACCUUACCCCCGCCCGCAAUAAAGUCUCUAUCGCUACGCA